AGUGGCGAACGGGUGAGUAACACGUGGGUAAUCUGCCCUGCACUUCGGGAUAAGCCUGGGAAACCGGGUCUAAUACCGGAUAUGAACUCCUGCCGCAUGGUGGGGGUUGGAAAGUUUUUCGGUGCAGGAUGAGCCCGCGGCCUAUCAGCUUGUUGGUGGGGUAAUGGCCUACCAAGGCGACGACGGGUAGCCGGCCUGAGAGGGUGAUCGGCCACACUGGGACUGAGACACGGCCCAGACUCCUACGGGAGGCAGCAGUGGGGAAUAUUGCACAAUGGGCGAAAGCCUGAUGCAGCGACGCCGCGUGGGGGAUGACGGUCUUCGGAUUGUAAACCCCUUUCAGUAGGGACGAAGCGCAAGUGACGGUACCUGCAGAAGAAGCACCGGCUAACUACGUGCCAGCAGCCGCGGUAAUACGUAGGGUGCGAGCGUUGUCCGGAAUUACUGGGCGUAAAGAGCUCGUAGGCGGUUUGUCACGUCGUCUGUGAAAUCCCUCGGCUUAACCGGGGGCGUGCAGGCGAUACGGGCAGACUUGAGUACUACAGG
rnacentral:rRNA from 1 species